rnacentral:tRNA from 1 species
GGAGAGGUGCCCGGAGUGGUUUAUCGGGGCCGUGCUAUCGGUCGGGUCCUGGGCCCACGCAGGUUCGAAUCCUGCCCUCUCCGC